AGAAAAGUUGGUGAGGAUUCUGA
rnacentral:siRNA from 1 species